GUGUCAGCAGCCGCGGUAAUACGAAGGGUGCAAGCGUUAGUCGGAAUUACUGGGCGUAAAGCGUGCGUAGGCGGUUGGUUAAGUCGGAUGUGAAAGCCCUGGGCUCAACCUGGGAAUGGCACUCGAUACUGGCCAGCUGGAGUAAGGUAGAGGAUGGUGGAAUUCCCGGUGUAGCGGUGAAAUGCGUAGAGAUCGGGAGGAACAUCUGUGGCGAAGGCGGCCAUCUGGACCAUUACUGACGCUGAGGCACGAAAGCGUGGGGAGCAAACAGGAUUAGAUACCCCCGUAGUCC
rnacentral:rRNA from 1 species